rnacentral:SRP_RNA from 1 species
UUUGCUACUACAACGAUAUCUGAUCAACCAGGUCAGGGUAGGAAUACAGCAGCCUUACAUCAGCUCUGUCGUGUGUGGUAGCUUUUUU